UGAGUACGAGAUGCUACGGCAUCGAAGCAGUCUAUGUCAUACUUCCAAGAAAAGCUUGCACUGUCAGAAACAGAUAAUGCCUGUACCAUAACCGACACAGGUGGGUAGGUAGAGUAUACUAAGGGGCGCGAGAUAACUCUCUCUAAGGAACUCGGCAAAAUGACUCCGUAACUUCGGGAGAAGGAGUGCCUUAUUUUUAAGGUUGCAAUAACAAGAUCCAAGCAACUGUUUACCAAAAACACAGGUCUCCGCUAAGUCGUAAGACGAUGUAUGGGGGCUGACGCCUGCCCAGUGCCAGAAGGUUAAAGAAGUCGGUUAGCAUUCGCGAAGCUGGUAACUGAAGCCCUGGUGAACGGCGGCCGUAACAAUAACGGUCCUAAGGUAGCGAAAUUCCUUGUCGGGUAAGUUCCGACCCGCACGAAAGGCGUAAUGAUUUGGAUACUGUCUCGGAGAGGGGCUCGGUGAAAUAGACUUGUCUGUGAAGAUGCGGACUACCUGCACCUGGACAGAAAGACCCUAUGAAGCUUUACUGUAACUUGAAAUUGAAAUUGGACUUUAUUUGCGCAGUAUAGGUGGGAGGCGUUGAAAAUAUUCUUGCGGGAAUAUUGGAGCCAUCAGUGAGAUACCACUCUUGUAAUGUUAGAUUUCUAACUUUAUAUCAUUAUCUGGUUAAAGAACAGUUUCAGGCGGGCAGUUUGACUGGGGCGGUCGCCUCCCAAAUGGUAACGGAGGCGCACAAAGGUUUCCUCUGAACGGGUAGAAAUCGUAUCUAGAGUGUAAAGGCAUAAGGAAGCUUGACUGUGAGACCUACAAGUCGAGCAGGGACGAAAGUCGGUCUUAGUGAUCUGACGGUGCUGAGUGGAAAGGCCGUCACUCAACGGAUAAAAGUUACUCUAAGGAUAACAGGCUGAUCUCCCCCAAGAGUUCACAUCGACGGGGAGGUUUGGCACCUCGAUGUCGGCUCAUCGCAUCCUGGGGCGGUAGUACGUCCCAAGGGUUGGGCUGUUCGCCCAUGAAAGCGGUACGCGAGCUGGGUUCAGAACGUCGUGAGACAGUUCGGUCCAUAUCCGGUGUAGGCGUUAGAAUAUUGAGAGGAGCCUUCUUUAGUACGAGAGGACCGAGAAGGACAUACCUCUGGUGUACCAGUUAUCGUGCCAACGGUAAACGCUGGGUAGCUAUGUAUGGAGUGGAUAACCGCUGAAAGCAUCUAAGUGGGAAGCCCACCUCAAGAUAAGUAUUCUCAUC
rnacentral:rRNA from 1 species